UACGGGGGGGGUAAGCGUUGUUCGGAAUUACUGGGCGUAAAGGGCGCGUAGGCGGUCCUGUAAGUCCUGUGUGAAAUCCCCCGGCUCAACUGGGGAAUUGCACGGGAAACUGCGGGGCUUGAGUUCGGGAGAGGGAAGCGGAAUUCCAGGUGUAGCGGUGAAAUGCGUAGAUAUCUGGAGGAACACCGGUGGCGAAGGCGGCAUCCUGGACCAACACUGACGCUGAGGAGCGAAAGCCAGGGGAGCAAACGGG
rnacentral:rRNA from 1 species